rnacentral:rRNA from 1 species
CGCUGGCGGCGCGUCUUAAGCAUGCAAGUCGAACGGCAAGAGGUAGCAAUACCUCCUAGAGUGGCGGACUGGUGAGUAACACGUGGGUGACAUACCCUUCAGAUGGGGAUAGCUAUUAGAAAUAGUAGAUAAUACCGAAUACGAGCACAGGGGUUAGAGAUCUGUGAGGAAAGGAGCUAAGGCUCCGCUGAAGGAAUGGCCUGCGGCCCAUUAGCUAGUUGGUGAGGUAAGAGCCCACCAAGGCGAUGAUGGGUAUCCGGCCUUAGAGGGUGAACGGACACAUUGGGACUGAGAUACGGCCCAGACUCCUACGGGAGGCAGCAGCUAAGAAUAUUCCGCAAUGGACGAAAGUCUGACGGAGCGACGCCGCCGUGGAUGGAGAAGGCCGGAAGGUUGUAAAAUCCUUUUGAAACUGAAGAAUAAGCGUUGUAGGGAAUGACAGCGUGGUGACAGUAGGUUUUGAAUAAGCAACGGCUAAUUACGUGCCAGCCGCCGC